rnacentral:lncRNA from 1 species
GCCCUAGGCUGGAGAAAGAGGAAACACGUUGGUCUGCGCACUCAGAGCCGAGUCAAAUGUGCAGGAAGAUUCCCCCAAACUGAAAGAAGGUCAACAGCAAAUUUGAGGCAGUGGAUAUGAGGAUAGAGGAGACACUCCUGAAGACUUCACUUUCUCCAUUUCUGUACUUGAAUUUUUACACCAAGCAUACAGCUUGAAAAAAUUAAAUGAGUAUGCAGUAUUUUAAAAAUCAACAAAAGCUUCACAUUUUAAUUUUCACUUGAAAAAAAAACAUGAGUGGUACUCAGCAGAACAACAACUAUAUCGUAUAAGCUGCAUCAGAGACAAAUGAAGAUGAAAAAACUAUCCUCCUAUAUAACUAAUCUGUGCUGUGCCCCAACAAAGCCUGCUUUAAAUUUCCGUGCCAAUUACAACCCCCAUUCUGUAUCAGGCAAGGCCACUCACAUAAUACAUAUCCAAGUCAGAGAAUGCUGAUAUAAACCUUGCCCACCUCUCUCAGCCCGUCUUUCUUACUCAGACAAUUUCUGAGCAGCUCUUUGAUGAACACACAAUCUUCAGUUUCCAGGACAAACUGAGCCACAGCCUUCCCUCCUGGCAGAUGGCUCCUCACCAUCUGACUUUUGACACUGUCCAGGACAACUCCCCUGAUGUCUUUAGGCUUUCCUGGCAUACCAAA